rnacentral:rRNA from 1 species
UACGUAGGUCGCAAGCGUUGUCCGGAUUUACUGGGCGUAAAGAGCGCGCAGGCGGCUGGUCAAGUCCGAUGUGAAAUCUCCCGGCUUAACUGGGAAACUGCAUCGGAAACUGAUCGGCUUGAAUCCGGGAGAGGGAUGCGGAAUUCCAGGUGUAGCGGUGAAAUGCGUAGAUAUCUGGAGGAACACCGGUGGCGAAGGCGGCAUCCUGGACCGGCAUUGACGCUGAGGAGCGAAAGCGUGGGGGAGCGAACGGG